rnacentral:lncRNA from 1 species
UCUCAAAUCACGCAAAAAAUCCAGAUUUUUUCCAAGAGAUUUCUCUACUCUUUUAAGUAGCGGACAUCUUAAAAUAUCCUGGCAGCCUUUGCUCCUUAAAUUAGACAGAAAGCUUUCAUUUUCUCACAAGUACAAAAAGAAAACUUCAAUCAAAUUUAAUUCAUCUACGAGGAAUUAAGCGAACCGGCUGAUGAGACGGGAUCCCAAAGGAAAGUAUCUUAAACACAAGCAGGGGCAGGCAGUGCCACGCUGAUGAAUAGACACAGCGGAGAAAAACCGGAGGAUGUCCUACCGUUGAGCCCAUGGGCGCACCAUAGUUCCCGACUCCUGUAGGACUGUCGAAGGAAUGUUAGGGUGAAAUUUUUCCAUUGACGAAGAAUGGAGGAGAACAAUGGGGCAAUGUCUUUCCCUUAUGGCGUACGAGCAUCGAGGCGUAUUGGAGUUGUGGAAUCUUUCAGUUUUAAUUGAAUUUUAAUUCAACUUAAACAGGAGCGACAACAAGGUGACAAUAUUCUCAAAUUGAUUUCCAACGACAGCAGGGUAGCUCCAAACUUGGCCAUUGUCUCCGGUGCAGAGAUGGGGCUUCAAUUGAAAUUGCUCCGUGAUGUUGUUCCUGGAUUAUGUGGCAUUUAACUUCAAACUCGAAAAUUUUGUAAUAAUAACAGAAAACAAUGGGAAAAUUCAUUUCCCACUUCUGGAAGUAGAGCAAAAUGUACUAAGAAAUUUGAGCCGCUAUAGCUAUCAUCCUUGCUGAUCAGCAUUCUCAACCCCAAUCCGCAUGUUCCCUUCCUCUACAAUAUAUCCUUGCCUUCACGCUUAGUUUACUAUUCCCUGUUCGAAACGCACAGCCCGGGGGCUACCUCGUAUUAUCCGUAUGCAUAUCAAAUAUCUUCUUGCUUAUGUCCUGGAAAUCUAUUUCUGUCAUGUUUAUUGAAGUAAGAAAAGAAACACAAGGCAAAAAGGGCAAGUUCGCGGAUGGAACCGAAACACAAGGAGAAAGGCUGAAUUCUGAAAAUUUGUUGUUCUUGGACUGAAAUUUUGUGACAUUACUUUGAAUUCUUGUUUGCGCCUUUUAUCUGAAAAUGCAUGUAUCUGUACGAGGCCUGGAAAAUAACCCAAGGAUAUGAGCAGGGUAAUAACAUCUUUGAAACGAGCUGAAAUUUAUUGGA